GGGGUGCUCGAGUGGCGAACGGGUGAGUAACACGUGAGUAACCUGCCCUUGACUUUGGGAUAACUUCAGGAAACUGGGGCUAAUACCGGAUAGGAGCUCCUGCUGCAUGGUGGGGGUUGGAAAGUCUCGGCGGUUGGGGAUGGACUCGCGGCUUAUCAGCUUGUUGGUGGGGUAGUGGCUUACCAAGGCUUUGACGGGUAGCCGGCCUGAGAGGGUGACCGGCCACAUUGGGACUGAGGUACGGCCCAG
rnacentral:rRNA from 1 species